rnacentral:lncRNA from 1 species
GUCAGUCAGAGGCCACGUGCAUGUGCUACCCACACCAGCGUAACUGCGUGCAGAGCUACCUCUCCCCGUGGGAUGUAGUAGGAGGGCUGGGGUAUCGAGGGUGGUGAUACGGUGGAGUGAGGUCUUGUAGGAGGGGAGGCUUGCUUCAACAGUGGUCUAAAGUAAGCGAGAUCAGCUAAUGACAUUUCUCAGGUAAGCACAUGUCUAACGUGGCCUUGGUAAAGCUGUGUCAUUUCCUUUGGAACAAACUAAGAUUGACAAGCAUCACCGGCCAGAGUCUCCCAUCUCCUGGCCAUUGCACACAGUCAAUGAAGGGGCUGUGGUUGUGUCUGCCACCAAGGCUCUUCAGGGAAAUCACUGACAAAAGGUGGUUGCUAACAAGGAGAGCUGGCUUUCUGAGUCUCUUCCAGUGUACAGUUUUGUUAGUGACCUUACUGUCAGCAUUAUUUCCUUUAAUUGCACACUGUGGAUGAGUAUCUGGCUAUGACUUGACUUCAUACACUGGUGGUCUCAUCACUUUUUAUCUUUAUCUUUGAACUAGAACAACUGAUUUUGAUUCCACAAAUCUAUAUCUUAAUCUUAGGAAUUCAGGAUUUUCUAUGAAUAAUAGUCUUGAAAUGUUAUAAACCGUGAAAAAAAUCUUUCUGGCUCAGUUUGAUUUAUCAUUUCUAAAAAUGUCUGGCUGAAAAAGACAUGACAUACAGAAUGUAAUAGCUUGUCCCCAUGUGGGUUCUCAUCUAUUAAAGAAAUAAUAAAGAUAGGUUCACCUUAAGUUGUGAAGAUAAGUCCACCUUAAGUGGAGAGAGACCUUGGAUUCUUCUACCUAGUUCUCAGUCUUACCAAGAGAUAGGCCUGCCACCCCUUGUCAUCAUUGUUUACAUUCUGCUAGACUAUAAAAGCCAGGCAGCCGGACAGGGCAGUGGUGGUAUGCCAUUAACCUCAGGACUCAGGAGGCAGAGGCCAGUGGAUUUCUGAGUUCCAAGACAGCCAGAACUACACAGAGAAACUCUUGUCUUGAAAAACUACACACAUGCACACAUACCCCAAAACAAACAAGUAUAAAAUUCAUGUAAAAUUUAAAACAACCCAAUUCUCAAAACACAAACUAAGGCGCCAUACAGCAUGUGCUAGUGCCAAUGGUCAGAUUUGUUUAAAUACUGUGUUUGAGUUUGAAAUGUGGAGGAACGCCUGGUGUCAUCUCCAGUGUUCUCACUGAAAAGCCUUUAUGAAGAUAAAGGUCGCUAGAGAAGAGAAGUAGCUCUAACCUCGGAGGUUGGAUGGAGAGAGAGUGUGCUGGGAGUAAAGGUCCCUAGAGAGCACGUGCUUUAAGUCAGCUCUGUCUCUCUGCCCCCGUGGAAUACAUUACCCAGCUGCUGUAAAACUGGCGCUACACUUGAAAGAGAGUGUCUUUAUAUAACGCAGUAAUAUGGGAAAUAAAUAAACUCCAAUAGAGACAUUCUCUAAAUGUUUUUAAAGUUGAU